AUACAUGCAAGUCGAACGCUUUGUGGUUCAACUGAUUUGAAGAGCUUGCUCAGAUAUGACGAUGGACAUUGCAAAGAGUGGCGAACGGGUGAGUAACACGUGGGAAACCUACCUCUUAGCAGGGGAUAACAUUUGGAAACAGAUGCUAAUACCGUAUAACAAUGACAACCGCAUGGUUGUUAUUUAAAAGAUGGUUCUGCUAUCACUAAGAGAUGGUCCCGCGGUGCAUUAGCUAGUUGGUAAGGUAAUGGCUUACCAAGGCGAUGAUGCAUAGCCGAGUUGAGAGACUGAUCGGCCACAAUGGGACUGAGACACGGCCCAUACUCCUACGGGAGGCAGCAGUAGGGAAUCUUCCACAAUGGGCGAAAGCCUGAUGGAGCAACGCCGCGUGUGUGAUGAAGGGUUUCGGCUCGUAAAACACUGUUGUAAGAGAAGAAUGACAUUGAGAGUAACUGUUCAAUGUGUGACGGUAUCUUACCAGAAAGGAACGGCUAAAUACGUGCCAGCAGCCGCGGUAAUACGUAUGUUCCAAGCGUUAUCCGGAUUUAUUGGGCGUAAAGCGAGCGCAGACGGUUAUUUAAGUCUGAAGUGAAAGCCCUCAGCUCAACUGAGGAAUUGCUUUGGAAACUGGAUGACUUGAGUGCAGUAGAGGAAAGUGGAACUCCAUGUGUAGCGGUGAAAUGCGUAGAUAUAUGGAAGAACACCAGUGGCGAAGGCGGCUUUCUGGACUGUAACUGACGUUGAGGCUCGAAAGUGUGGGUAGCAAACAGGAUUAGAUACCCUGGUAGUCCACACCGUAAACGAUGAGUGCUAGGUGUUUGAGGGUUUCCGCCCUUAAGUGCCGCAGCUAACGCAUUAAGCACUCCGCCUGGGGAGUACGACCGCAAGGUUGAAACUCAAAGGAAUUGACGGGGACCCGCACAAGCGGUGGAGCAUGUGGUUUAAUUCGAAGCAACGCGAAGAACCUUACCAGGUCUUGACAUCCCUUGACAACUCCAGAGAUGGAGUGUUCCCUUCGGGGACAAGGUGACAGGUGGUGCAUGGUUGUCGUCAGCUCGUGUCGUGAGAUGUUGGGUUAAGUCCCGCAACGAGCGCAACCCUUAUUACUAGUUGCCAGCAUUCAGUUGGGCACUCUAGUGAGACUGCCGGUGACAAACCGGAGGAAGGUGGGGAUGACGUCAAAUCAUCAUGCCCCUUAUGACCUGGGCUACACACGUGCUACAAUGGCGUAUACAACGAGUUGCCAACCCGCGAGGGUGAGCUAAUCUCUUAAAGUACGUCUCAGUUCGGAUUGUAGGCUGCAACUCGCCUACAUGAAGUCGGAAUCGCUAGUAAUCGCGGAUCAGCACGCCGCGGUGAAUACGUUCCCGGGUCUUGUACACACCGCCCGUCACACCAUGAGAGUUUGUAACACCCAAAGCCGGUGGGGUAACCUUCGGGAGCCAGCCGUCUAAGUGGGACAGAUGAUUAGGGUGA
rnacentral:rRNA from 1 species